AAAACUCCUCGGCUUCCUCCAAGCCCUGGUCACGGAGAUCGCUGCCAAGAGCGCCAGCUGCUGGGGACCCUCCCAGGCGGGAGCCGCCGCUCGAGUGCCCGGGGUCCUCCCGGAAAGGUCCAGGGCUGAAGUUCAAAACUCACGUCCAGCCCAGGCCAGACUCCCUGCCCCGCCAGGGACUCUGGGGCAACUCCCACUCUCGCGUCCUUCUCCUCCAGCUCCAAGUAAUGGGGCACCUCCUGCCAGGACAUCUAGGCUGGCUGCGGGGAGAUCUCUCGGGCGACUCUAGAGCUCCUGGGGAAUCUGAGCAGCCGCAGCCGGCGCGUGUGCACACACACGCAUGCACACACAAACACACUCGCCUGGUCCAGCCAGGCCUCAACAGCUGGAGACCUGUGCUGAGAAGGGGACUGCAGAGGUUCUCCAGAGCCGAGGCUGGUGGAAAUGUAGUGGUAAAGAAAAUAGGAGAAAGAAGAUGAAUUCGGCCCACUCCCUCGACCCAGGAGGAAGGCACGCAUGAAGACUGGAUCCUCCUCAUUCAGCCCAUUUAUUGACUGUCCACAACAGACCUGACCCAAGCAGGUGCCAGGGACUGCCGCGACCAAGGACAGAGUGACAGUUCUUCCUGGAUUCCCAUGCUGUGAAGGAAGGACACUAAGCCAUAGAGACUGGAAUCGGAGUCUCUUUAGAGAGGCCACCAUCUGAAGUGGGUCUUGGGGACCUGUAGGAAUAGGGCAGAUUGAAGGAAUGUCAGUUGUGGAACUGUAUAACUGUCCUGAGGGAUGGCCAGCUAGGAAGCUUACAAAGCCUUCUAGGGACUACAUUUCAUCAUUCCCCAUUUCUCUGCCUGGAUGGGAACUCCUUUUAUUGUCUUUUGCCUUUGGAUCUCAGUCUGGUAUCAACUCAGGAAUUCUUUCUUGGGAGUCAAAUCAGGGCCAGGAGCUCCAUGCAUGGGCACUGAGAAACCCCCAGUUCCUUUGCCUGUGUACCCCACUGGAUGGUAAACUCUGCAGGACAGGGAUAUGCCCCUUGUUCGUGGUUAGAUCCUUAGAUCCCUUGUGUCUAGAUGGGAUUUGGCAAAGAUGGGACUUAAUCCAUUCUUGUUUAUCAGUCGGUGAUUAGAGGGAAUGAGGUUCCAAGCAAGGCUCUGAUGAGGUCAGUCUAGCCAGAAGUAUGGAGAUAGGCCAGUGACCAGCGUUAAAAGGUAGUGCUAGGGUUAUGGGAAAGCAGAUGGGAAAUGUCAACAUUAACUAUUGAGGGUCUGAUUUUAGGGUGAUCAAAUAUCCUGCAACAUGUCUCCCUUUUUGUCUAAAUAAAAAAGAAAAGUUUUUUUAACUCUUACACAGUAACACUAUAUACAAUAA